rnacentral:rRNA from 1 species
AUUGAACGCUGGCGGCAGGCCUAACACAUGCAAGUCGAGCGAGCGGCGGACGGGUGAGUAAUGUCUGGGAACCUGCUUGAUGGAGGGGGAUAACUAUUGGCAACGGUAGCUAAUACCGCAGACCAUCAGAUGUGCACAGAUGGGAUUAGCGAGUAGGUUGGGUAACGGCGCACCUAGGCGACGAUCCCUAACUGUUCUGAGAGGAUGAACAGCCACAGUGGAACGGAGACACGGUCCAGAGUCCGACGGGAGGCAGGAGUGGGUAAAAUUGCACAAUGGGUGCAAGCCUGAUGCAGCCAUGCCGCGUGUGUGAAGAAGGCCUUGGGGUUGUAAAGCACUUGCAGCGGGUAGGCGUUGCCCGCAGAAGAAGCACCGGCUAACUCCGUGCCAGCAGCCGCGGUAAUAG